rnacentral:rRNA from 1 species
UCAGGAUGAACGCUAGCGGCAGGCUUAACACAUGCAAGUCGAGGGGCAACGCGAGUAGCAAUACUUGGCGGCGACCGGCGCAAGGGUGCGUAACGCGUGAGCAACAUGCCCGUAUCAGGGGGAUAAUCCAGGGAAACUUGGUCUAAUACCCCAUAGUAAUUUUGUAAGGCAUCUUAUAAGAUUUAAAGCUUUGGUGGAUACGGAUUGGCUCGCGUGACAUUAGCUGGAUGGUAAGGUAACGGCUUACCAUGGCUAUGAUGUCUAGGGGUUCUGAGAGGAAGGUCCCCCACACUGGAACUGAGACACGGUCCAGACUCCUACGGGAGGCAGCAGUGAGGAAUAUUGGACAAUGGAUGGAAAUCUGAUCCAGCCAUGCCGCGUGAAAAGGAAGAAGGUCCUAUGGAUUGUAAACUUCUUUUGUAUGGGAGCAAUAAGGCCUACGAGUAGGCUGAUGAGAGUACCAUACGAAUAAGCACCGGCUAACUCCGUGCCAGCCGCUGC